ACGGCUCAGUAACACGUGGCUAAUCUGCCCUUAGGACGAGAACAACCCCGGGAAACUGGGGCUAACUCUUGAUAGGUGAAGAACUCUGGAAUGAGUCUUUGCCUAAAAAGAUUCACGUUAUCCUCGUGAACCUGCCUAAGGAUGAGGCCGCGACCGAUCAGGUUGUUGGCGAGGUAAUGGCUCACCAAGCCUUUUACCGGUGCGGGCCGUGGGAGCGGGAGCCCGGAGAUGGGUACUGAGACAAGGACCCAGGCCCUACGGGGCGCAGCAGUCGCGAAACCUUUGCAAUACACGAAAGUGUGACAGGGCUAUCCCGAGUGCCAUCCGCUGAGGAAGGCUUUUACCCAGUCUAGAACGCUGGGGGAAUAAGGAGAGGGCAAGUCUGGUGUCAGCCGCCGCGGUAAUACCAGCUCUCCGAGUGGUGUGGAUGUUUAUUGGGCCUAAAGCAUCCGUAGCUGGCUAGGCAAGUCCCUUGUUAAAUCCACCGAAUUAAUCGUUGGAUCGCGGGGGAUACUGCUUGGCUAGGGGACGAGAGAGGCAGACGGUAUUUUCGGGGUAGGGGUGAAAUCCUAUAAUCCCGGGAAGACCACCAGUGGCGAAGGCUGUCUGCUAGAACGCGCCCGACGGUGAGGGAUGAAAGCUGGGGGAGCGAACCGGAUUAGAUACCCGGGUAGUCCCAGCUGUAAACGAUGCAGACUAGGUGUUUGGACGGCCACGUGCCGUUCUAGUGCCGCAGGGAAGCUGUUAAGUCUGCCGCCUGGGGAGUACGAUCGCAAGAUUGAAACUUAAAGGAAUUGGCGGGGGANCAC
rnacentral:rRNA from 1 species